GAUGAACGCUGGCGGUGUGCCUUAGGCAUGCAAGUCGAACGCUCCCUUCGGGGAGAGUGGCAGACGGGUGAGUAACGCGUAGGAAUCUACCCAAAAGUGGGGAAUAGCUCGCCGAAAGGCGGGGUAAUACCGCAUGUGAUCGCAAGAUUAAAGCCUUCGGGCGCUUUUGGAGGAGCCUGCGUCCUAUCAGGUAGUUGGUAGAGUAAUAGCCUACCAAGCCGAUGACGGGUAGCCGAUGUGAGAGCAUGAUCGGCCACAAGGUCACUGAGACACGGGGCCUACACCUACGGGUGGCAGCAACCGGGAAUAUUGCGCAAUGGACGAAAGUCUGACGCAGCGACACCGCGUGUGGGAAGACGCUUUUCGGAGUGUAAACCACUGUGGCGAGGGAUGAAUUUUGACAGUACCUCGCUAGAAAGCACCUGCUAACCACG
rnacentral:rRNA from 1 species